AAGCAGGGGAUCGUAAGACCUUGCGCUUAUGGAGCGGCCGAUGCCUGAUUAGCUAGUUGGUGGGGUAAUGGCUUACCAAGGCUACGAUCAGUAGUUGGUCUGAGAGGACGACCAGCCACACUGGGACUGAGACACGGCCCAGACUCCUACGGGAGGCAGCAGUGGGGAAUUUUGGACAAUGGGCGAAAGCCUGAUCCAGCAAUGCCGCGUGAGUGAAGAAGGCCUUCGGGUUGUAAAGCUCUUUCAGUCGAGAAGAAAAGGUUGUGACUAAUAAUCACAAUUUAUGACGGUAUCGACAGAAGAAGCACCGGCUAACUACGUGCCAGCAGCCGCGGUAAUACGUAGGGUGCAAGCGUUAAUCGGAAUUACUGGGCGUAAAGGGUGCGCAGGCGGCUUUGUAAGUCAGAUGUGAAAUCCCCGGGCUUAACCUGGGAAUUGCGUUUGAAACUACAAAGCUUAG
rnacentral:rRNA from 1 species